rnacentral:lncRNA from 1 species
CGCGCCCGCUCCACCUGCGUCCUCUCGGGACAGUGGCGUGGGCGCCGCGCCUCAACGCCUCGGCUCACGCAGGCUUCCGCAGCCCGCGCCAGUACAGUGUUGUGAACCACUUGUCAUGGGAUAACCAAAAUUAAACCUGGAAUCGCAGAAGAAACAAAUUUUUUGAAGAAAUUGGAUGUACUUUUUUAAAAUUUUUCAUUCAACUAAAACUUUGUUAACUGUUUCUUGGUUGUGGUCUUCUCUAAAUUGUAAUCUUUGGCAUUCACUUCCAAAGUAUCCACCACUAAACUUCAUAACAUUUAUUGUGUCUCUUCAUCAUUAAACUUUGAUGAAUUUACAGAGUGUCUUUUGAAAUUAUGUUCUUGAGAAAGGUAAGUUCCCUAAAAAUCCCACCACCUCAGGAACAGAAUUUUCUAAAACUGUUGUAUCUACCUAAGUUACCUAUUUUUGUCUUUUGUCUGGAGUCCACUUGUCCUCAAAACAAAAUUAAUGUUGUAUUCCCUUUUGGUCAAGGACACAUUAAACAUUUCGUGCAGCAUGCACAUUUUUCAGGGAUGUAGAAUCAUAAACAAUUAUUUUUAUACACUUCUUAUGACAUAGGGUGACUUUUACAAUGUGCUGUGCUAUUUAAAGUUAAAUGUUCACCACUACAUAUUGUACCUGUGAAAAGAUUAUAGGUUAGCUUUGAUAAUUUAAAAUAUUUUUGCUACAGCCA